rnacentral:rRNA from 1 species
ACUCCUACGGGAGGCAGCAGUGGGGAAUAUUGGACAAUGGGGGCAACCCUGAUCCAGCAAUGCCGCGUGUGUGAAGAAGGCCUGAGGGUUGUAAAGCACUUUCAGUAGUGAGGAAGUUUUGUUGUUUAAGAGAUGACAGGAUUGACGUUAGCUACAGAAGCAGCACCGGCUAACUCCGUGCCAGCAGCCGCGGUAAUACGGAGGGUGCAAGCGUUAAUCGGAAUUACUGGGCGUAAAGGGCGCGUAGGUUGUUGAGUAAGUUGGCUGUGAAAGCCCCGGGCUUAACCUGGGAGGGUCAGUCAAAACUGCAUUGACUAGAGUGCAGUAGAGGGUAGUGGAAUUUGCCGGUGUAGCGGUGAAAUGCGUAGAGAUCGGAAGGAACACCAGUGGCGAAGGCGGCUACCUGGACUGACACUGACACUGAGGCGCGAAAGCGUGGGUAGCGAACAGGAUUAGAUACCCUGGUAGGCUCUG